UACCGUUGCAACUAAACUGCUGAAUGUUAUUCUUCUUCUGGUUUGGGCAUUAACACAUUAGUGUUUACUUUUUCUGGUAACAAUAGUUCUUCCUGGUUAGUUUGAUGGAGGGUUGAUAUCAGUUUGUGCGUUCAGUGGAUAGACUGGCCUCGAACGUGCUACCUUGGUGAUGGGAUGUGGUUAGCUGCCACCAAAAGAGGAGAAAUGUAACACCAGAAGAUGGACUGUGCAGAAGUUUUUUAAAGCCACCUUUGAUGAGGCUGAGGGCUGAUUAACAAAAGCAAAGUAACAAAUCAUUGUGGAUGUUUCAGACACCAGAGUCCUGCAGGCCUUUAAUCAACCAGCGACAUGAGUUAGCAGGUCUGUUUCACACCAUGACGCUCUCGGCUCUGGCUGCUUCGUUGGUGUCGGCUGAGGAAGGUGACAGGACCCCGGUGUGAAAGCGCUGAUAGGGCCUCACUUUUCCAGAACAUUCCCACACGGAGCAUCUCCAGAGCCGCCGACACUGACAGCAUGAUGGGUGACAAGCGUGCCUGCUGUCAGUCAUCCAGGGUCCAACGUGUCAGCCCAGUAAAAUAAAUAUACUCACAUUACUAGUGAUGUACAUGACAAUCUGAUGUCAUUUUUCAAAAUUUAUUAUCAAUAAGAUAAAAAACAAUACAUGGCUGUUCAGUGAAAACCAUGCAUCUCCAGAUAAACUGCAGGAUUAGUUGUUCCUUUAUGAGUUGAUGAAAUUCUCCUUCUUAAGCUAAAAAAAAAACAUUUAAAACCUGCAGGAUUAUCUGAAAAAUGCUCUGUCACAAAGCUGAAAACAGGUUUUUCUUUACUGAUGAAAAGUUGACAUUUUGUUUUUUUUAUUUUAUUUUGAGACAAUUACAGCUUUAAACAUAAAGAUUUGCAGCUUUUCUUGAUUUCAUAUAACAAUCAAUUCAAUAUUUUGAGUUUCCAUGCAACCAAAACAAAGAAAUCAGUCCGUUUACUUGUGAUGGUCCUUCGUCUUUUUUGUAAUUUUUUACACAAAAUUCUAAAUAAAAUUUUAAAAAAUGGUUAUAAUUGAGGCUUUUAUCUUGUUGGACCUCAGCAAAACUUCAUUGCAGUCGAAUAAGUUUGUCAAUCACCAACUUAACAAGCAAUAUGAU